AUUGAACGCUGGCGGCAGGCCUAACACAUGCAAGUCGAACGGUAGCACAGAGAGCUUGCUCUCGGGUGACGAGUGGCGGACGGGUGAGUAAUGUCUGGGAAACUGCCCGAUGGAGGGGGAUAACUACUGGAAACGGUAGCUAAUACCGCAUAACGUCGCAAGACCAAAGUGGGGGACCUUCGGGCCUCACACCAUCGGAUGUGCCCAGAUGGGAUUAGCUAGUAGGUGGGGUAAUGGCUCACCUAGGCGACGAUCCCUAGCUGGUCUGAG
rnacentral:rRNA from 1 species